ACUGGUUGAUCCUGCCAGUAGUCAUAUGCUUGUCUUAAAGAUUAAGCCAUGCAUGUUUAAGUUCAUACCUAUGAAUGGUGAAACCGCGAAUGGCUCAUUAAAUCAGUUAUAAUUUCAUAGGAUGUGUUUUGUUAAUUGGAUAACUGUGGUAAUUCUAGAGCUAAUACAUGCAUAUACGUUCAGCUUGCUGGAUGUGCUUUUAUUAGUGCAAACCAUGUCUUCGGACUUCUGGUGAUGACUCUGAAUAACUUUGCCGAGCAUUUCAGCAUAAAGCUGGUGCUAUUCCUUCAAAGUAUCUGCUCUAUCAACUGUCGAUGGUAUAUUAUAUGUUUACCAUGGUUGUAACGGGUAACGGGGAAUUAGGGUUCGAUUCCGGAGAGGGAGCCUGAGAAACGGCUACCACAUCUAAGGAAGGCAGCAGGCGCGCAAAUUACCCAAUCCCGGCACGGGGAGGUAGUGACAAAAAAUAACAAUGCGGGACUCUUAUGAGGCUUCGUAAUUGGAAUGAGUACAUUCUAAAUCCUUUAACGAGGAACUAUUGGAGGGCAAGUCUGGUGCCAGCAGCCGCGGUAAUUCCAGCUCCAAUAGCGUAUAUUAAAAUUGUUGCGUCUAAAAAGCUCGUAGUUUGAAAACUUGCCUUGGCUUACACUAGUCCCUGUUGGGGCACCGUUUGUUGAGCGCAAAUAUAGGUAACUGUUUUUGCCGACUUCAUUGCUUGGCUUAUAAGAGUUAUCAAAUAUCACUUUGAUUAAAUUAGAGUGCUUAAAGCAAGUGUGUUACUUGGAUAUAAAUGCAUGGAAUGAUGGAAUAUGUUGUUGUUCUAUUUGUUGGUUUUUGAACGAUGAAAUGAUUGAAAGGAACUGUUGGGGGCAUUCGUAUUGUUGUGAGAGAGGUGAAAUUCUUAGACCACAGCAAGACGAACUACUGCGAAAGCAUUUGCCAAGAAUGUUUUCAUUGAUCAAGAACGAAAGUUAGAGGUUCGAAGGCGAUCAGAUACCGCCCUAGUUCUAACCAUAAACUAUGCCAACUAGCAAUUUGCUUACGUAUGUCUUACGACUAAGUGAGAGGCCACGGGAAACCAAAGUAGGGUUAUGGGGGAAGUAUGGUUGCAAAGCUGAAACUUAAAGGAAUUGACGGAAGGGCACCACCAGGAGUGGAGCCUGCGGCUUAAUUUGACUCAACACGGGAAAACUUACCUGGUCCUGACACUAGAAGGAUUGACAGAUUGAUAGCUCUUUCUUGAUUUGGGGGAUGGUGGGGCAUGGCCGUUCUUAGUUGGUGG
rnacentral:rRNA from 1 species